GGCUUGAUAACUCAGUUGGUAGAGCACUGCACCAGUGUCGCAGAGGUCAUGGGUUCGAAUCCCGUUCAGGCCU
rnacentral:tRNA from 1 species